rnacentral:rRNA from 1 species
CCUACGGGGGGCAGCAGUGAGGAAUAUUGGUCAAUGGGCGGAAGCCUGAACCAGCCAAGUCGCGUGAGGGAUGAAGGUUCUAUGGAUCGUAAACCUCUUUUAUCAGGGAAUAAAGUGCGGGACGUGUCCCGUUUUGUAUGUACCUUAUGAAUAAGGAUCGGCUAACUCCGUGCCAGCAGCCGCGGUAAUACGGAGGAUCCGAGCGUUAUCCGGAUUUAUUGGGUUUAAAGGGUGGGUAGGCGGGCUUUUAAGUCAGCGGUGAAAAUGUGGGGCUCAACCAUAGCAGUGCCGUUGAAACUGGGAGUCUUGAGUGUGUGUGAGGCAGGCGGAAUGCGUGGUGUAGCGGUGAAAUGCUUAGAUAUCACGCAGAACCCCGAUUGCGAAGGCAGCAUGCCAAGCCAUGACUGACGCUGAUGCACGAAAGCGUGGGGAUCGAACAGGAUUAGAUACCCCUGUAGUC